AGUUACGUGGCCGAGGUGGAAAGGCGGAGGCUCGCAAGCCCUCCUACGGUGGUUCGAAUCCACCCGUAACUG
rnacentral:tRNA from 1 species